GAUGCUUUAAAACAUCAAGCACUUUUCCAAUACAAAAUUAAAUGAAUCCAUCAUCAUCUGGUGUAUUCAAUUUCAAUAUACAAAUGUCCUAUUCAUGUUCUUUUGACAUAAAGUUGCGCUUAAAAUAUAAAGAUGCAGACAAAGUUAGCUGUUUAUACAUGGACUACAUAUACAUAUAAGAAUCUAUGCAAAAAUAAAAGCAAACACUGUCGAUAAAUAUUGAAUCUAGAGAGAAAAUGAGCGUCCAUUACAUAAACUAAGCACCCAAGUAUGGCUCUAUGAGGCAAAAUUUCAAUGAGAAGAAAAAAAUCAUGAUCCAGAUUCUGUCAACUGAUAAUAACAUGUAACCAAUGCUAAGUUGCAAAGGAGAAAAAAAAUGACAGUGAAUAACACACGAAAUGCAAUGAUUAAUUAAGCAUUACAUCCUUGCUCAACACAUGUUUUGUAACACAUUAAACAAACAGAAAUUAUCAGAGAUCUUUAAUUACAUAGUGC
rnacentral:misc_RNA from 1 species